CUUCGGUCCCACAUGGGCCGCUGACCCUUUCUGGAAGAUCUCGCGAGAAUCCUCCUCCUCCACCACCCGGAGUCUCGCGGAAGGCUCUCCUCUCACGUGACUUCUUUUAGCAUUGACUCAAGGCCUGCAGAGUUUGGAGCCAGUUAUUCAAAGGAUGAAAUUUGGAAGAGGAGCAGCACAGUAAGAUAUAAAACACUGACAUAUUCUUUAUCUGCAUUUCUUUAAUCCCUUUCAGCAUUUUAUAAAUGAAAAUCAGGAUAUAUGUGGCCAAGCAAUAUCAGAGUGUGGCCAAGAUGGCAAACAUUAUUAAUAAGGAAGAGAACACCAACUAGAAGCAGUUUUCAGCAACUGAAGUAAACUGAUGACAAAGAGGGAAAUUGAGAGGAGGAGAAGGAGAAAAAUGGGGCAUUUUGAAAGCACCUGAAAAGGUGGGAUGACAGAAGAUCAAUCAAGACUGUCUCCUCCAAAUGAAGGGCAUCCUCUCACAAAUCCCAUCUUUCCCUAAGAAGAAAGGCUGUGCUUCCCCUUCUGCCCCAACAUGUUUUUCUACAUAGAUCUCCCUUCUGUUGCUUUGCCUCUGAAUCCAGUUUGCAUAUUGAGCUUCCAGGAACUAUUUUCAACUUCCAAGGGCAUUUGAGCAUGAAGAACACAUUUCUUGAUGUCUUUAGCUACAAAUUGGCACGCAGCUGGGCUUGCAGUAACAUUGUGAGGAGGGGGCCAACAUCUUCAAUUCGCUGUUUAUUACCCAGGAAGUUCUGAUCAAGUUUAUGGUUCUAAGGACUUCAACAUAUCAACUCCACCGAAGAACAGGACAAGCUAUUGUAAAUAUGAACCAUCAAAGCACCAGCCAUUUCAAUGAAAUGAAGCAAAUCAAUUGUUUUUCAUAAAGGUGCCUUUCAGAUCUCCUUUUUCAUGUUCUCCAUUUCCAUAUGCUAGACUAUGGAGUGAAAUAAAUUAACUAUGAGGAUCUUC